AUCAUUUGCACCUUCUCUUUCACCAUGUCAAACCACACAACUCUAUUUCUUCAAAACCCAUAGGAAGACAUGCAGAACAAAGGUCUUCAAGAUAGAUCAAAAUAAAGGCCUUAAAGUUGCAAGAAAAAACUCAGUCCUAUAUACAACACACAGGCAACUCUGGUUUUUCAAAACCGUGCCAAGCUUCUAUGGUUACAAUUGAGAGCGACUAUUUCAGGCUUGAAAAGAUUAUUUUUCAGUCAGUUUUCCCUCCACCCUCACAUAUUAUGCAUCCAACGGACUGUCACCUUCUUUCUCUAGGCACACGCCACCAAACACGAACACCCACUCUGCAGCCUCGCCGCCCUGAUCUGCCCGAGUUGCCGCUGCUGCCACCGGUCAUCCCUCUAACCGACCUCCACCAGAACCCUACAACCCGCUGCAUGUCCUCUGCCGACAACGCCAAGACAAGUUGCGUCUUCCCUGCCUCCGUCCAGGUCCUAGAACAUCAUCUUGGAGACGCCACCACAAGUUGCAUCGGCCCUGCCUCCAUCCAGGUCCUAGCUCUGCAUCUUGGAGACGCCGCGGCAGGCAGUGUCGCCUCCAUCUCAGCGUUAGCUCCAUCUCACCUACUUCUCAGGCACAUGUCGACCGACGUGGCUGAAAAUUCCAGUCACCUGAAAGCAUUCAAUAGGCAUUAGGACUUCACUUUUAUCAGAGAGAGAAUUAGGAAUACACACACUCUGGCAGGUCAACAUUCUGGUGCAGACUUCACUAUCCCGACUGAUUCCGUUAUAGCAACAAGAUGUUCCAAAUUUUAUCAUGAUCUCACAUAUGAGCUCAAAAAUGAAAAUAAUCUGCUCACAUAUCCUAGCUCUGGAUAAUAGUAGUACUAAACAACUUGGGUUACAUUUUUCAUACUACCAAAAUUACAUAAACCCUUCCUGUCUAAAAAGAUUUAGCAUCAGGACAUGCAUGUGGUCCCCUUUUAAGAAAUUAAUGUAAAUCAAUUGAUUAACCAACAAUUCCUGUUUUCAAAAAUUAUAGAAAUUAUAGAAGUUUAUUGGAUUUCGGAAUUGGUUUAUCCAGUAAAUUAAGGCCAGUUCCUGAUACAUAAUUCAACCAAAACAUGAUUUCACCACAACCGUAGUAAUUAGAGCAGAAGUUCCUACCCAAUCUAUCACCCCUAUGGCCCUAUACAUAUCACAAACUUCAUUCAAAAAUCAAAAAACAUACUGCCGACUCAAAACCAUCCAAUACUCCUAGUCUUAUACAGACUGCACACACUCGUAAACCAAACCCUCAUUAAAACAAUACAUUAACCAGCUAUACACCAAAAUGUAUGUACAUAUAUAUGUACCACCGAUCUGUUGCUAGGUUGUACAUAUAUUUUGGUCCAGUGAUGCUCAAGACAGACCAGAGAUUGCCCCCAUCCUGAAGGAAGUGAACGAGCUAAGUAGAGUUUAAUCUAGUUUUCAAUUUAAGAUUGUCCACAGACCAGCUAAUGUUGCUGCUCACCUGUGUGCAAAAAAUGCUUUGCCUGAGCGGCAAAGGUGUGCUUGGAUAAAUAUGAAUCCUAGCUUCGUUUUCAGCCUUCAGCAUGACUAUAACUCUACUUAUUCAGUCCAGAAAAGCUCCUGAUUCUGAAAAAAGUGCACCUGCAUGAAACAACGAUCUGGCAAAAAAAAACACUUAAAUACAGUCAAAUUCUUAAGAACAGAAUAAAAGUAUGCAGAAGGAGCAGCACAUCUCUGUUUAUAAGAAGUACACAAACCACAGAUUUCAUAUUCGGGAAAGGAAACCAAGAAAAAGAAAACAUAGGAUCCAUAAACGGAAGAUUCAGUACCAUUGCCGGUUCAAGUUCCAAUUAGAACUUAUAUUUGUCCUAAAAUUUCUUCAAUGACUUCCUUUUGAGAAUUUAUAAACUCACCUGCUAAUCUUCUCUUUCUUUGGUUUUUCAUGUUACAAAUACUUUCGGGAUGACAUCUUAUAAAACACAAAGGCAUGAAACUUAAAAAAUCAAACCUGGAGAAGCAGGCUAGGAGGGAGAGCGACCAUGGCACAGGCGCACAUCACCACAUAGGCGUGAAAGAAAUCCAGCAACGAACGCUUGCCGAUGGAGUAGUACUGCUAUACAUGUCUUCUAUGAAAUCAGUAACACUGAUUACUGACCCUGAUUGAUGUAACCUCUAUUGACCUUGAUUGCCGGAAUUAGUAGAUAAUGGAGCAGUACUAACCUUCUCUUGCUCUCUCAACUGGAGCAUAUGGAAAAUUAGUAGAGCCCAAAAAGAAUUAAAGCACAAAUUAGAUGGAAUACAAAACAAAGCAACCUGUUCCCCUUAUAGAGGAGGAUUUUUUACUGACCGAUGCAAAUUAGAGAGUGAAUCGUAGGGAUCAACGAAUCGCGGAUGGCUUGGUGAUUGCUCGCACCAUCUGCACAUGCCCAAGCCCGGGCCUAACCGGAGGGGAGCAGUUACCUGGCCGACGACGGUGCGGAUUUCAAACCGGCAGGGGAAAGAGGCUUCCGCGCCGCCGUGUCGCGGGCUCGCGUGCGGCCUCGUUCGCCAGCGGCCGCCACACAUGUUCCCACUUCGUGCUUUGGGAGGAAACCGGUGUGGCCGAAGACUCGAAGAGGCGAGGGGGAGCGGGAGCCGCCGCGCCGCGGGCUCGCGCGCGGCCUCCAUCGCCGACCAGAGAGAGCACGACCACGCCUCCCCUUGUCUCCCGCUGGUGGCCACACUACUUCCCGGCUCCGGCUUCCAGCGCACGCCGCUCUGACGAAGAGCGCGACGACGAGGGCGUUGUGCCGGCGGCAGGGAGAGCGCCCGAGACGGUAUCGCGGGGGCAGUUUCGGUGAGGAUUGGGG
rnacentral:lncRNA from 1 species